GAUGAACGCUGGCGGCGUGCCUAAUACAUGCAAGUCGAGCGAACAGACGAGGAGCUUGCUCCUCUGACGUUAGCGGCGGACGGGUGAGUAACACGUGGAUAACCUACCUAUAAGACUGGGAUAACUUCGGGAAACCGGAGCUAAUACCGGAUAAUAUAUUGAACCGCAUGGUUCAAUAGUGAAAGACGGUUUUGCUGUCACUUAUAGAUGGAUCCGCGCCGCAUUAGCUAGUUGGUAAGGUAACGGCUUACCAAGGCAACGAUGCGUAGCCGACCUGAGAGGGUGAUCAGCCACACUGGAACUGAGACACGGUCCAGACUCCUACGGGAGGCAGCAGUAGGGAAUCUUCCGCAAAGGGCGAAAGCCUGACGGAGCAACGCCGCGUGAGUGAUGAAGGUCUUCGGACCGUAAAACUCUGUUAUUAGGGAAGAACAAAUGUGUAAGUAACUAUGCACGUCUUGACGGUACCUAAUCAGAAAGCCACGGCUAACUACGUG
rnacentral:rRNA from 1 species